UACGGAGGAUCCAAGCGUUAUCCGGAAUUAUUGGGCGUAAAGGGCGCGUAGGCGGUCGGAUAAGUCUUGUGUGAAAUCUUCGGGCUCAACUCGAAGUCUGCACAGGAAACUAUCUGGCUUGAGUGUGGGAGAGGUGAGUGGAAUUCCUGGUGUAGCGGUGAAAUGCGUAGAUAUCAGGAGGAACACCUGUGGCGAAAGCGGCUCACUGGACCACAACUGACGCUGAGGCGCGAAAGCUAGGGGAGCAAACAGG
rnacentral:rRNA from 1 species